GACCGAUGCCAAGAUCCCCGAUGCGCAAUACGGUCUGGAAAAAGCGCUGACCUUCGGCUUAGCCGCCCAUGCCGGUGCCAACCGGCUUUGCG
rnacentral:ncRNA from 1 species